rnacentral:rRNA from 1 species
AUUUUGGAUAAUGGGGGAAACUCUGAUCCAGCCAUGCCGCGUGUAUGAUGUAGGCAAUCGGGUAGUAAAGUACUUUUGGCUGAGAAGAAAAGUGAUCCCCUAAUACGAGAUACUGCUGAUCGUAUCCGCAGAAUAAGCACCGGCUGACCACGUGCCGUCAGCCGCGGUAAUACGAAGGGUGCAAGCGUUAAUCGGAAUUACUGGGCGUAAAGCGUGUGUAGGCGGUUCGGAAAGAAAGAUGUGAAAUCCCAGGGCUCAACCUUGGAAAUGCAUUUUUAACUGACGAGCUAGAGUAUGUCAGAGGGAGGUAGAAUUCCACGUGUAGCAGUGAAAUGCGUAGAUAUGUGGAGGAAUACCGAUGGCGAAGGCAGCCCCCUGGGAUAAUACUGACGCUCAGACACGAAAGCGUGGGGAGCAAACAG